rnacentral:lncRNA from 1 species
UAUUCAGAGGGCUAUAAUCCAUGAAUUACCUCCCAGGCUCAUUUUAUUCUUUCCCUGCCUGGCCCUGGAAUCAUUCCUUUUAGUGCAGGAUGGUGUUUAGAAAUCAAGAUCCGGGCACUAAGUCUGCUCAUUGCUGCCAGGGUGUUAAUGCCGCUGAGUCCUCUCAGUGGGCAGCCUGGGAAGUAUGUGUGUGUUUAUCCGUACACGACACUCAUCUGUAAGUAUCUUUGUAUCUAUCUGUGCAUCCAGUCAACAGCCAUGAGUUCUUACCAGUACUCUCAGUUCCAACCCAACACCCCAGGAUUCUUUCUAGCCUCUCAGACUUCUGUGUUUGUGAAUGUCUUCUCCAGCAGGGAGUAACUCGAUCCCCUUCAUCCUGAAUAUAUUUACUUGUUUGCUUAACAUUACUGAUCUCUCUAUCGCACUGAUGGCCUCCAUCCACUCACUUUGUGCCCCUUCCCUGACACCCCUUGGCAAUGGGGCCCAGUGGCCUGCAUUCUGAGGGGCUCCCCUGCACUCCUGCCACCCCCUGUGUCCUAGGAAGCCAGAGCCCCUGGUCCACACCUUUGUGCAGCUGACAGG